rnacentral:rRNA from 1 species
GCAUAUCAAUAAGCGGAAGGAAAAAGAAACCAACAGGGAUUGCCUCAGUAACGGCGAGUGAAGCGGCAACAGCUCAAAUUUGAAAUCUGGCCCUAGCGGUCCGAAUUGUAAUUUGUAGAGGAUGCUUUUGGUGCGGUGCCUUCCGAGUUCCCCUGGAACGGGACGCCAGAGAGGGUGAGAGCCCCGUACGGUUGGACACCUACCCUAUAUAUAGCUCCUUCGACGAGUCGAGUAGUUUGGGAAUGCUGCUCUAAAUGGGAGGUAAAUUUCUUCUAAAGCUAAAUACCGGCCAGAGACCGAUAGCGCACAAGUAGAGUGAUCGAAAGAUGAAAAGCACUUUGAAAAGAGGGUUAAAUAGCACGUGAAAUUGUUGAAAGGGAAGCGUUUACGACCAGACCUCUUCCAGGCGGAUCAUCCGGUGUUCUCACCGGUGCACUUCGUCUGGUUUAGGCCAGCAUCGGUUUUCGUAGGGGGAUAAAGACCUGGGGAACGUAUCUCCUUCGGGAGUGUUAUAGCCCCUCGUGUAAUACCUCUACGGGGACCGAGGACCGCGCACUGCAAGGAUGCUGGCGUAAUGGUCGUCAACGACCCGUCUUGAAACACGGACCAAGGAGUCGAACAUUUGUGCGAGUGUUUGGGUAUUAAACCCUCACGCGUAAUGAAAGUGAACGGAGGUGAGAGCCCUUCGGGGUGCAUCAUCGACCGAUCCUGAUGUCUUCGGAUGGAUUUGAGUAAGAGCAUAACUGUUCGGACCCGAAAGAUGGUGAACUAUGCGUGGAUAGGGUGAAGCCAGAGGAAACUCUGGUGGAGGCUCGCAGCGGUUCUGACGUGCAAAUCGAUCGUCAAAUCUGCGCAUGGGGGGCGAAAGUAUGUAUUAUCCCGGGGUGUAUACCCUAUAAUUCUCCCCUGGAGACAAUAAACAGUAUGCUAACAACAACUUCUUUAGGAACUUAUCGAAACCAUCUAGUAGGCUGGGUUAACGCGAGU